GAAUUCUACAAGCUUUGUUGCACCUUUCAGUUCACUCAUAUUGCAGAAUAAAAUGUGCAUCUUAAUAAUUGAACUUCUACUGAAUGUCUCCAGUCUUGAUUUUAAAAACUACUGGUGGGGCUAAGAUGUGUUUUGUGUUUUUCUAAAUUUUUUUUAACGUUUAUUCAUUUUUUUUUUUUUUGAUAGAGACAGAGCGUGACUGGGGGAGGGGCAGAGAGAGAGGGAGACACCGAAUCCAAAGCAGGCUCCAGGCCCCGAACUGACAGCACAGAGCUUGACCCUGGGCUCAAACUCACGGACCUGAGCCGAAGUCGGACGGCCAACCGACUGAGCCACCCGGGCACCCAAGAUGUGUUUUUAUCUACUGUGAAGGUAACAGUUUGAAAGGUACUUUAGAGACGUGGAAAUGAGACCAAUGGAAGAAUGAAAAGAGCUCAAGUGUGUUUCUCUGUGUUUUCCUGAAAUAUGAACACCAAGAUAUGUCAAGAUAUGUGCUUCAACUUGUGAAUACGUGAAAAUGGAUGUAUUCUUUA
rnacentral:lncRNA from 1 species